rnacentral:misc_RNA from 1 species
AAAGUCGUAACAAGGUUUCCGUAGGUGAACCUGCGGAAGGAUCAUUAUUGAAUUUAAUGUAGAGUUGGUUGUAGCUGGCCCUAAUUAAUCUUUGGGCAUGUGCACACCUUCUCUUUCAUCCACACACACCUGUGCACCUGUGAGGCAGAAGGGGACUUUUAAUUCAAUUUAAUUGGACCCUCUGUCUACUUAAUUCACACAAACUCUAUUUAUUUUAAAAUGAAUGUAAUUGAUGUAACGCAUCUAAUACUAAGUUUCAACAACGGAUCUCUUGGCUCUC